rnacentral:rRNA from 1 species
AUUGAACGCUGGCGGCAUGCUUUACACAUGCAAGUCGAACGGCAGCGCGGGCUUCGGCCUGGCGGCGAGUGGCGAACGGGUGAGUAAUGCAUCGGAACGUGCCCAGUAGUGGGGGAUAGCCCGGCGAAAGCCGGAUUAAUACCGCAUACGACCUGAGGGUGAAAGCGGGGGACCGAAAGGCCUCGCGCUAUUGGAGCGGCCGAUGUCGGAUUAGCUAGUUGGUGGGGUAAAGGCUUACCAAGGCGACGAUCCGUAGCUGGUCUGAGAGGACGACCAGCCACACUGGGACUGAGACACGGACCAGCCUCCUACGGGAGGCAGCAGUGGGGAAUUUUGGACAAUGGGGGCAACCCUGAUCCAGCCAUGCCGCGUGAGGGAAGAAGGCCUUCGGGUUGUAAACCGCUUUUGUUCGGGAAGAAAUCCUCUGGGCUAAUACCCCGGGGGGAUGACGGUACCGGAAGAAUAAGCACCGGCUAACUACGUG